GAUGAAGAACGUAGCGAAAAGCGAUACGUAAUGUGAAUUGCAGAAUUCAGUGAAUCAUCGAAUCUUUGAACGCAUAUUGCGCUCUUUGGUAUUCCGAAGAGCAUGCUUGUUUGAGUAUCAGUAAACACCUCAACCUCUUCUUGAUUUUUCAAAAGGAGGGUGGACUUGAGCUAUCCCAACAACCUUUACCGGUCGGCGGGCGGCUUGAAAUGCAGGUGCAGCUGGACUUUUAUCUGAGCUAAAAGCAUAUCUAUUUAGUCCUCGUCAAACAGGAUUAUUACUUUUGCUGCAGCUAACAUAAAGGAUAAUUGUCCUCUUUGCUGACUGAUGCAGGAUUUUACGACACUUUAUGUGUUGUUCAACUCGAUCUCAAAUCAAGUAAGACUACCCGCUGAACUUAAGCAUAUCAAUAAGCGGAGGA
rnacentral:misc_RNA from 1 species